GUUCUAUAAGAAAACAGGUUGAGCAAGCCAUGAGGAGCAAGCCAGUAAGCAGCACUCUUCUAUAGCUUCUGCUUUAGCUCCAGCCUCCAGGUUCCUGCCCUGCUUCCUGCUUCAGUUUCUGCCCCGACUUCCUUUGCUGGUGAGCUAUGAUGUGGAAGUGUAAGGUGCAUUGGCAGUUGAGUAGUGGCAUGGAGAAUAGAGGCAUCAUGAUUACAUUAUGGAUGGAUCGAGGUGACAGAAAGACGAGACUUCCCUCUCCACCAAGACUACAGGCAGCAAGCAGCAAGCACAAGAAGAGAUCUCCUUGAGAAGUUCCCACCAACAGCCCCAUGAAAGAGAUACUACUAUUUGUGCUUUGCAUCUGAAGACAUAAAAGUCCAAAAGACACAUCUCCCAGGAAGGAGUGAAGUUGCUUCUCUAGGAUAUCUGAUACCAUUUUCUUUACGAAGACUUAAGCAAUUACAAGUGUGUUUUUACAUUGGAAGGAACUAGAAUCUGGGGGAGGCUUUUCUGGUCUGUGCAGUGAGCAGGUGUUAAGACCAUUGAAUGGAUAUUUUGAAACAAAUAUGGCCGCUGUAUGACACCUCUUGUCUUCUUACUGGUUCUCUGGCCAUCUGCUUAUUUGACAUUGAACUCUUAUUUCACAAGGUCACACAUACUAAUCGGCCUACGGAUGCUGGCAGGAAUGACAGUGGAGAGCAAUGUUUGCCACUCACUAUAGCUACUCUUCCAGAUAACAGUCACACAUCUGAAUGUGGGCUCUCUUUCUAUGAUGCAUCCCUGCUCAGUUCCACAUUUGCUCCUUGCUGGCAAGAAAUGGUUUUGUCCUCUCUGGCAAUCUCAGAACUAGUAGAAAUACCCUAAUUAUCUUCAACUUUUCCCAGGCAGCUGCCAGUCAGACUGAGAAAGGAUCUCA
rnacentral:lncRNA from 1 species